rnacentral:rRNA from 1 species
UACGGAGGGUGCAAACGUUGCUCGGAAUCAUUGGGCGUAAAGCGCACGUAGGCGGCCAGACAAGUCGGGUGUGAAAUCCCUCGGCUUAACCGAGGAAGUGCAUUCGAAACUAUCUGGCUUGAAUACUCAAGAGGGUCUCGGAAUUCCCGGUGUAGCGGUGAAAUGCGCAGAUAUCGGGAAGAACACCCGUGGCGAAGGCGGCUCUCUGGGACGGUACUGACGCUGAGACGCGAAAGCGUGGGGAGCGAACAGG